rnacentral:rRNA from 1 species
UACGGAGGGGGCGAGCGUUGUUCGGAGUCACUGGGCGUAAAGGGCGCGUAGGCGGUGCGAUCAGUCGGGCGUGAAAGGCCUGGGCUCAACCCGGGACGUGCGCUCGAUACUGUCGUGCUGGAGACCGGGAGAGGAUGGCGGACUUCCCAGUGUAGAGGUGAAAUUCGUGGAUAUUGGGAAGAAAAGCAGUGGCGAAGGCGGCCAUCUGGAACGGUUCUGACGCUGAGGCGCGACAGCGUGGGGAGCACACAGC